UCCAGGUUGGUUUUCCACACCUGACCCACCAGGUCAGAGGGUAAUAAUUAUAGUGGCGGGAAAUUGUUAAAAGGAAGGCUCGAGACAGAGAGGAGCUCUAUUGGUAGGACUUCGUUUUGUGUAGAAUUUUGGGUUCGUUCUCGUUUCGGUUAGGGUUUCACACUUUUUUGUGUUUUCGAGGCAUCUUCGCGCAACUGCUGGCAUUCGCGCGUCUCUUUAUUUCUUUAUUUUGGAGGGUGGAUCUCUCACUCUCGCCAUUAUUCCAAUAAGUUCUCGUCUUGUUCGUCCACCGCCAAUGGAAUCUCUUUUCCGUAUUUUCUUUGUCGUCUGUCUUGCGUGCUAUAAAAAUAAAAAUAAAAAACAUGAACGCCGAACAAAAAUAUUCUCAACGAAGGGGCACAACUGUCCGAGGCCGGACGUCGGCUUGGCCCAGAACGAUCACUUUGCUACUGCUGCUGAAUCACCACGGUUUCUCUGUUCUAGCUGUUGUCCUCAUCGCUGCUAUACAUUGCCAGACGAAACCUAUAGAUCCUCAGAUAUUCACACUUCAGCUUGUGAGAAGUCAAACUGAGAAACUGCUCACUAACUUUACUGAAUGCAAUUGGACCAGACCUGUGCAAGCCAAUGGGAUAAGCCUGAAGCCAAAAAGCAUGGAAGAAACAGCCUGCGCGUUUAAACAUUACCUGAACAGAACCCUCGCGUACCAAAACGAUCUCAACCCCAACUCCACCAUCACCGACGUGCUGGAAUGGAUCCAAAGGCAGUUCGCACCGAUGCCCGUGGGCAGAAGGUGCCAGGGGGCCGGGCACCUGGAAAACCCAUCGGAAACCUUCAAAAAGAAGUGCCUGAGCUCCCGUGUGCUGACCCUGUUCACAAAAUGGCUGCCGGUGUACAUUGGGUCUUUGGAGAAAUGAAGUGAAGAUGUGUUCGUUGCCUUCUGCUAAUUAUCAUAAUGUCAAAACUUUAUGAAAAAAUAGCAUAAAGGAGUACUGUGCUUUUGCUCAAUGUUACAACCCACACAC